rnacentral:lncRNA from 1 species
UAGAUAAACAUCUCUCAUGCUUCAAAGAUACAGCACCUCAAAGCUUCAAAUGAUCCUUUAUGUGAGCUCACAUUUCACAUAGAUGGAAAAUUUCUGGAGGUUAGCAAAGUUACAGCAAGCAUACCAAGACGAGAUCUAUGGUAAGAUUUUCUUCAUAUAUAUCAGUUUUUUAAGCUACAACUCCAAAUCAUUACUAUGUUUUCUGUUUUAUCGGAUGAAAAUCACGAAUAUUUUUUAAGCAAACAUCUCUCUCUCUAUAACCCAUACACCCCUCCAAUCUUUCCUAUAUACAAAUGAAUCUGAUAGUUCAUUAUUUUUUUUACUUUUUCUGCAAUUUCGAUUUAUUGUGAUUUAAUUUAAUUUUUUAUUUAUUAGUAAUUAGGAUUUACCAAUUUAAUUAAUGCGUGUAAUUAGGAUAUAUAUAUAUAUAUAUAUAUAUAUAAUUUAUUUUCAUUUUGUUGUAAAAAAUAAUACGGAGUAAUAAUAUUUUAUUUCAAAAUAUUACCUUUAAUAAAAUUAUAUACUUAUUUGUGAAAAGUGAUAUAUAGAUUAGCCAUAAAUCUUUAGGAUAGAAUUACAUAAAAAUAAAAAUAAAAUUAUAGUAUAUUUUUUAUAUAUAUAAUUAGAACUAUGGGUUGGAUCUAGAUCGAGUCUGGAUCUCAUAACUCCUACUUCAUAUCUAGGUUCAAAAAUUUUAAGAAUAGUCCAAAUUCAGUUUAAAUUUAUCGAAUCUGAUUUUUGCAAGGUCCAAAUCCAAAAAAAUAGAAUCUGGUUCAAUAUUCACUAUCAUCCCUAAUAAGAGAACUAUGGGAUAUUGAGUUGGAUGAAAAUAUUUUAUGUGAAAAAUUAGUUUAAAUUUAUUAUUAUUAUUAUUAUUAUUAUUAUUAUUAUUAGAAGCUAUGUCUAAAAUGACCUCACCGAAAUAAUCGGCAACCCGUUUGAUCUUCUGUUUUCUUUUUGGGCUAUUUCCUUAUUCGUCUUUUGUUAUUUAUAAUUAGAUGGGCUCAAACUUAUGAGAGUCCAAGCUCAGCCCAAUAUUCUUCUUUUGCUGUUUUUAAUUGAAUGGGCUCGAAUUACUGAGGGCCCAAGAUCAAGCCCAAUAAUCUCAUCCUACCCAAAAUAUAACCCAAUUUAUGACCUAGAACUUAUGCUAGCGGUGGCAGGCCAAAUGGGAUCCUCUGUACCAAAAUAUAGUGUAUACCACGUGUACCACUUUUCAUUUUUUUAUAUUUUAAAAUUAUUUUUUAUUCAAUUUUAAUUUAUUAUGCUUUUAUAUAAUAUAAAGAUAAUUAACAAGGGUUCACUCAUCCAUUUAGGGUUUAUAAUUAUUUUUUUUAUAUUUAUUUGAAUUAAUAAUAGAAUAUUUGGGUUCAUUUAAUUCAAAGUUAGGGUAUAUAAUUUUUUAAAUUUAUUAUUUGAUGUGAAAAAUUAGUUUAAAUUUAUUAUUGUUAUUAUUAAAUUAGAAGCUAUGUCUAAAAUGACCUCACCGAAAUAAUCGGCAACCCUUUUGAUCUUUUGUUUUCUUUUCGGCCUAUUUCCUUCUUCGUCUUUUGUUAUUUAUAAUUAGAUGGGCUCAAACUAAUGAGAAUCCAAGCUCAGCCCAAUAUUCUUCUUUUGCUGUUUUUAAUUGAUGGGCUCGAAUUAAUGAGGGCCCAAGCCCAAUAAUCUCAGCCUACCCAAAUAGUUAGACCGGGGAAAUAUAACCCAAUUUAUGACCUAGAACUUAUGCUGGCGGUGGCAGGCGGGUUUGUAAUGAACUCGAGCUAAGUAAUAAUUUUAUUACGUAAAUUUUUGCUUCUCAUACAACUUGCACUUAUAUGCUUCAUUUUAUUUAAGAUGAUACGUUUAUCUACUAAAAUAAUGCAUUCACAAUAAUCUUUAUAAUCGUAUAAUUGAAAAUACUGAUCGUUGGACGUCCAAGGUCCAACCAAUCUCACUGAAUUUGAACGCCCAAACGAUGAGUAAUUUUGGCGUCCAAAGGUCCAACCAACAAAAAUAAAACAUGCAAAUUAACCUAAUGACCUAACAAAAUAUGAGUUCCAUUUUCCCAUUGAAUUUGGCCUAUAUUUUAGGUCAAUUAAAAUGGGUCGAAUGGAUUUAUUGUAAAUUAAGUAAAUACCAAAAAUGAAAAACUCUUAAUUCAUGAAUAGAAUCCAUCUACUUAGCUCAUCUUCCAAUUCUCUCAAAGUAGGCCUUUCCUCCACUGCUCCGCCACUCUCCUCAUCAUCAACAGCUCCAGACACCGAAUCUCCCCCAUUUUCCGACGCCCUCCGCCACGGAAGAAGUUGGAGCAGCACCGCUUUCGCGCGGGGAAGAACGCCUGCGCCGCCGCGCAUGAAGCCGGAAAGCGCGCGGUUCCCAUCUACGUGGUGCUCGUAAACUAGUAAGGGAAAACUCGUCUCCAAACAGCAGCCCGAAAUCCUAAUUACAUUUCCGCCGCGUAUAGAGCGACGGAUCACCUCGUCGAUGAACUGCUCGAUUUUCGAUUCCGGCACCAGCGACGGAAUCUUCAUCACGGCGGCCUCUCGACUAUUCUCGAAGGUUCCGCGGUAGAAUUCCCCCCGCUCGCUGUAAUUGUUAGUGGCGUUCUCCAUUUCCUGAGCUGCGUAUAUUUUGAGGUGCGCAGAUCCCUCGCGCUUGGAUAGCUUCUUCUUCAAUAUGUUUCCGCCAUUUCUGUCGAACAAGCUCAUUCUGUGGCGCUCGAGCUUCCUUCUCUGAUGCGACCAAACGAUCCAAGUGCUCGCGAAGAGGGGCGGGAGCACCAACACCCCCAAUAAGUAGGGGAUUUUAGAGUCGAUGUAGAUUCCAUGGCCGCUCCGCAAGGCGGAGGUAGUUUCGGUGAGGGAGGAAGAGAGGGUGAGAAAGAAAAUCAGCAACUUGAGAAGCUUCGAAUUGUGGAGAGAGAUUUUGAGAGACAUCGUGGAAGGUGGUGAAAAUCAGCGUUCUCGGCUUUCGUUUUGAUGCCUCUCUUUGCAAUUUACACUCUGAUGUACUGAAUCGUUGGUCUGGCGGUUUGCUUAUUUUGGUGGUAGUUUGAAUUGAAUAUUGGUUGAUGAUUUUCUGAAACUCGUAUAUGGGUUUAAUGUGUGCUUUUCUAGUCAACGAACAGGAAAUUUCUAUCUUACCUUUAUGGGAAUUCUCUUAUUCAACUUUUUGCAUGUGUUUGUUUGCCACAAUUCUAAGUUUCUCUGGUGAUUAAUCAGUAUUUUGUUUCUGUCUAGGUAGAUUGAUUAGUCUUGUAGAACUUAGAAGAAGGCCUGAAUGGAAAGCAAAAUCUGCGGAUCCAUAAAAUCUGUUGUGAACCUUCAAAUUCGAUGCAAUAAUCAUUUUGUUGUGAACCUUCAAAUUCGAUGUGGAGUCCAUAAAAUCUGUAGUUCUCCUGGAGCGGAUCCUGUAUAGAAUCCAGAAAUUUUCAGACAUGUAGAUGUUUAAUUCUAAUUGUUAAGAUGCAUAUGGACAUUUAUACGUUUUAGAGGUUGCAUGAAAACUACACUAGUUAUUGAGUUUUCCAAUUUAUCUCCUAAUAAUUUAUAUAAUGUGCUUAUGUGUUUGGCUUCAGUUUCUGAACUUUGUGUCUGACGAAACUAUUUACAUUUGGUUUUCUAGAUUGCAGUUGCUCUUGCUGUUGCAGCCAUCCCUGAAGGGCUACCUGCUGUUGUUACAACGUUAGUUCUUUAUUCUGUUUUACAUAACAUGUCAUAUGUACAUCAGCAUUCUCAUACCGUUUUUCUCGGAAAAGACCUGGCAAAUGUGGCAAGGGAUUGGCUUUGAUAAUGAGUUGUUGGACAAAUCACUGAGCAACUUAUUGGAAGACCUCUGAAUCUGUUUGUCACAUGCUCUGUACGAUUUGCUAUAGUAUCUGUCAUGGAUUUGUGAGAACUUUUAGCAGGCACUCCCUGUUAGCUCUAUUUCAGAGUAUAGUUAUUGUUUGCCUUCUAAUUGGCUACCUUUGUUCGGGUAAUAGUAAUCAGUUUCUUUUGUCUGUAUUCUAUUCCCUCGUAUUGUCCUAGAUACAACAAUUCCAAGUUUAAAUAUGCUUGACCUGUUCUAGCAUCCUUGAGAAUACAUUUUGCUCAAAGUAUAAGGUGUAGGCAUAGGUCCUACUGCAAGUAUUUUUGAUUGAAUAUAUUUUCGGUAGAGGAUUAUUUAGUAUGUUCUAUAGUAGGUAAUAAACAACUAUUAAAAAGGCUUGCAAGAAAGAUCACUUUUUGGCUCAUGAAGGUUGGCUAUGGGUUUACUAGGUUAUUGUCUUAGGUAGGCCAGAUAAGGAUGCUUAUUCAGUCUCUUACUUUCACCCAGCAGUGUUGAUAUACUUGCAGAUAAAGAGAAACUUACUUUCACCUCUGUUUUUUGAGGAAAUGCUGAUUGUUUCAAAUCCAUGCUUAAGAAGCAGCUUAGCUUUCUGCCUUACACAUCUUAAUUUCUCUGAGUGUCAGCAGGUGUCUAGCUCUUGGAACGAAACGAAUGGCUCGUUUAAAUGCUAUAGUUAGGGCGUUGCCAUCAGUAGAGACCUUAGGCUGUACAACAGUGAUUUGCAGUGACAAGACUGGUACUCUGACUACUAAUAUGAUGUUUGUCUCGAAGGUAUCAAUUUACACACAAUAAUCCUUCGUUCUUCUUUUACUUCUUUUAUUUUCCUCUGGGUUAUACUUUUUUUAAGGUUGAGAAGGGGGAAUAUAUGCUUUGGAAUGUUUCUCCUUUAUUAGCUUUGUCAGAAGCUCUGAUAAAUUUCUCUACACUUCUUACAUUUUAGCACUUAUGGUUUCACGUAAUGCUAGACUAAUUAAUUUUUUGUAUUUUUCCCCAUCAAGCUUCAAUUAUUCUGCCCAUGUGUUUAAGUGUGCAUAUACUUAUUUACACCAAUAUGUUAUUAUGUACUGCAUAUUUUCUUACAACUACUUUCACUGUAAAAGUUGAUUAAAAUGGCAUUGCUACUUUGAAUCACUAGGAAUUCCCCAUUUUUUGUGAGGACCAUUGUGAUGUUUAUAUCGAAAGUGGCAGACUGUGUCAGCCUUCCUAAAGAACUAAUAUUAAGUAUAACAUCUGCUUUCUCUUUGCAGGUAUCUGUGCUCCAUUCUGCAAAUCAUGUUCCUGUUGUAUUAAUACAUGUAAGUGGCACCACAUAUGCUCCAGAAGGUACUAUCUCCGACAGCACUACAGAGCUACAGGUAGUGUUCUAUUCAUGACAUUAGGUUUGUAUUUAUUGAUUGAUUAUAAGUUUAACACUAGACCAGUUUUCGAAAUAUCAAUAGUUAGUGCAAUGGAUUUUGUACCAGCAUUAUUUAUCUUGAAAAAAUCAUGUUUUCUUAUCAACUUAUAUUUAGUUUCAUAUCUUCUACAAUGUAUUGAUGUUUCUGACUGCUGUCUAAAAUUUGUCUACUUUGUACUUUGUUAUUCCAUAUGGUCACAGAUUCUUCUUCUCCCCUUGCUUGCUUACCAAUCCAACUACAAUUUUUUUUUUGAGAACCACCAUCUACCAAAAAUUUAUUAAAGGAUAUAUGCACCUUUUUCCUGAUUAUUUUGGCUUAUUAUCUUUCAUAUACUCUUUCGAAGGACCCUGUUUUCCCCUCUUUAUAGCUCAUCCAAUCUCCCUAGGCUCUGUCUAGGUUCCAGGUGGCCUUUUACCGUUCCUGCUUUUCCAAAUUCACCUUGCUCAGCCCUGCUGGACAGCUGGCUCCUUUUAGAAUAUUGAGCUUCUACUAUUUUUACAUGAUUCUUACUUGUCUAUUUUUAUUUUGGGUUUAUUAUAGUCAUAUAUUGACAACUUUUAUGUUUGUUAUUUGUAUUAUUUGUUGUAGUUAUUCUUAAUGUAAGAUUUAUCUGGGACCUAAUGCAGCUUGGGCUUCCAGCUAAUUUUCACUGUCUUCUACACACAGCAAUGUGCUCUGCCCUUUGCAAUGAAUCUAUUAAUCAGAGGCAUGUCUGACUGAAACAUAAGGAAGUUUGGACAACCAUCUGGUUGCACCAUUUCGUUAGUGGGUAUAAUUUCCAACUAUUUAGAUAUGGAACCUGUUGUCCAAUUACCACUUGUGAUAUCCUCACCAGUCUAUGGCAGGCAGUAUUAUAGCUAAAGUCAAUGAUGUUGUUGGUUUGAGGAAUUCAACCACAUGCUUAUUUAUGGAAUGAGGAAUGAGUCUUUCAUAUGUGGCUAUUUUUUUCAAACUGCCACUAAUGUUGUACUUAAAUACUAGCUUCUUGCAAUUUUUCCAUAGAAUUCUGUCAUAUGUAGUACCACAUUCGCUAAAAUGAUCCAGGGAAAAUGCAUAACAUGGAAUAUGACCACCUUCACCCUACAGGGAAUGUAUUGUUAUAGUUUCGGAGGUUUUUCUCUUGUCCUUGUACCAGUUAAUCCAUCUAGCUAAGUGACUGUCACUAUACUGAAUUUCAUGUAGCCUCUGCCUUUUUAAUGAAAUUUCACUGUCACAUCUUUUUUACUGUAUUUAUAUGGUUGAGUAGCUUUCUCAUCUUCUUGUCCUCAAGGAGGCCGAGAAAGAAAAAAAAAUGAAAGAAAAUGAAAUAGUUGUGUGAAAAUACUUGUAGAAAAUAUUAAAUCGGAAGAUGAGUUAAUUUUCUUUAAAUAUUGUAUUUUGUUGAAGCUUGUACUUCCAUGUUAGAUAACUUCUGAUCGUAUCUAUCAGAAAAAACUGCAAAUGACCUAUUAAGCAACUUGGCCUCGUACCUAAUGGACCAAAGAUUCGUGGGCUCGAUAAUUCCUUGGUUACAGCAGGCAAGUUCUUUUGGUUGCACUAUUUAUAACUAUAUGAAAUCAUCCAUAUCCGUAACAAAUGAUUAGCAUGUUAUCUAAAUGAUCACUCUGUUUUCAUCAGCUUGUGGAUCUCAGUAACAUCCACGGACCAACCUACCUGGUGCUCUCCUCGAAGACGAAACAAGAAUUCUUAUAUGGAGUCCAGGAGGCUGCCAAAUUGGAGAUAUUCAAUCCUGCAGAGAGAAGAUGCCUUACUGAAAUAGGCAAAAUGUUGUGCCAGUUUUGGGGUUAAGACAUUUUUACAUGUUUGAAUCUCUUAAGUGGAGUUCAUUUCUGUAUUGUAAUUCAAAUCAGAAAUCUUGCACAUUAUUUGAUGUGAAGGCUGGGAUCUGAUUAGUAAUAGGUCGUGUUGAAGUUGUAUAAACAAAUCUAUUGCUCCAGUUUGUGCAAAGUAUGAAGUUGUGCCUCAAGAUUUAGGGGUCAAAAUUUCACAAUCUGACUGGUUAUAAGCAUGACAAAGCUCAAACAGAUAUAAAGCAUUUGGUGAAAUAAGUCAUUUAUAAUCGGGUGUCAAAAUGCUUUUCUUGGAUACAUAAACACUUGCUUACUUUUCCAUUGAUAAGAAGAGCUACAAUGUUUAUGACUUGUGAAAAAUUAGGACAGAAUGGUACAGACUUAAUCUUCAAAAAAAGAACCUGUUUGCAUACACUUUCUUAACUGCAGGUUUCAACAAUCAAAUCUUAGAGAAGAGGCAAUAGAGGCUUUACUCCUUUGAAGGCUCAUUAGGUUGUUGAUUCUUUAUAGGGCGCGUCUUCUCUUUCGCUCUGACUUCUGAGUUGGUUUCUUAACCCUCUGUUGGGAUUCUGAGGCGCAUUUUUUGAGACUUCGUAAAGGGUUAUACUACCACUACUUUCUAUUGGGCUGAAUUCUUGUGUGACGAGGGGUUCGAGUAUCUCAAUGACUUGACUCAUGAGGGGUCUUCCUUUUGGGUUCUGACUGAGACAUUGAAAUGCCAGAUUGGCCACUUUCAUAAGAAUCUUGGUGGAGUACUGCCCCUCGAUUCUAGGAUCCAGUAUUCUCGAAAGCUUCUUGCUAUGGUUGAGGAGUGGACGUGCCCACUCCACAAGAUUAUGUUCUCGGCUUGGCCUGCUCUUGUCCAUCGCACGUCUUCCUAUAAGCAUCUCAAGCAGAACAACUCCAAACCCAUAGACAUCGCUUCUUGCUGUCAAAUGUCCUGAACAAUGUACAAAUGGAUGAUCAUUCAAUCACUAGUCAUAAACAAUGCAUUUAAAGAUGGUAAUAAGAGAUUUAGCCACAACUCGUCUAAGACUUAUAUCAAAGAGCAACCUACGCGUAAAUGGUAACAUCAGAUGUAGCGUUCAUAUCACGUCUGCCAUCACAAGACUCACCAGUCAUGACAUACUCAGGAGCAGCGUAACCAUAGGUGCCCAUAACCCGGGUUGAGACAUGAGUUUGAUCUCCCGUUGGCCCAACCCUUGCCAGCCCAAAAUUAGAAAGCUUUGCGUUGAAAUCCUGUGCUCGUUAUACACUUUAGCCACUGAAUGAUCGAUGGAGAUGACAAAAUUUUGCAUAACCAGAAGACAUUGUGAAAUCUAUGGGAUUCAUCAGUAGAAUUCCAUCCAAAUAUGUAACUCAUUUAUAAGACCUCAUUUGUACUAGUAAACACAUCUACUAACCUCAUCUAGCAAAAUGUUUGAAGUCUUAAAAUCCCUGUAAAUGAUAGUUUUUUCAACACCAUGAAGAAAAGCAAGCCCUCUCGCAGUAUCCAAAGCAAUCUUUAGUCUUCUAUGCCAUGUUAAUGUGGCUCGUACCCCUACAAGCAAAAACCACAGAAAAACUGUAAGGAGACUAACUAGGCUAAACCAGGUGGGAUAAAGAGCGCACACAGUCCAUCACACGUCUCUUUUAGUUUGAUGGUGCACUGUAAUAGCUAAUAUCUCCUUUAAUUUUUCAAAAACUAUGUUGGCAUCACAUAUAAUACAACCUCCAAUUUCAAAAUGAAUGUUCUUAUAAGCAACUUCGUUUUAGAUGGUUAUUGAAACCUCAGUUUUCCAUAUCAGGUGAUUGCUACACGAGUAAAUGAGUGAAAGAAUGCAAGUCACUCUCAGCUGAAACAAUUUCCCACUACUACCACUUACUAAAGAAAAGGUGUUUCUCGAGGCUCCCAGAUGCCAUAUAUUCAUAGACCAAAAGCCUAUGGUCAUCCUCGCAGCUGUAGCCAAUAAGUUUCACCAAAUUAGGAUGUCGGAGUUGGCCUAAAUAGUUUACUUCUGCCUGCAAAGGACAACUUACACAUUCAGCGAUAACUACCUUCUCUACAUUUAAUGAAUUAGAAAAAAGUUUCACUGAAUAGAUUUUUUAGAUUCGAGGCAGCAAAAGCAGUAGAGAUGGGUGCAGCCAUCCAGUCACUUAUUUGUCUAGAAAUUGAAAUAUUGUUCUGAUAAAAUUUCAAUUGCUGCUCUUCCGAUCCCAAUCAACAGCAGCUAAUUCUCAACCAAACAUAAUACAAGGACCAGGCUGCACUCCACAGAUACACGAUGGCUUAUCCCAUUUCAUACUUACUUUAUAAAACUAAUAAAAAGUAGAAUAUGGGAAAUUAAGUUUUCUGGUAAGUUAAUAUAUAUAAUGAAUAAUGGGAUUUGGCUUUCUAACCAUCAGAAUAAUAAACAAUAACUACCUGUGUUAUGCGUAUAUUAAAAAAAUAAAAGUAUUAAGCAUCCUACGGCGGAUAUCGGUGAAAAUCUCAUUUCAAUCAUUCUUCUUCUAAAGGCUGCGCCUAUACAUAUAUGAGGUUUGGGCUACAGAAAUACAGAAUUAAUCAAACCCACGCAAACAAAGAAGCGAGAUGGCGAUGGCUAGGCGAAGGGCGGUGAUGCUGUUCUCUGAGACAAAUUAUCGAACAUGUGGCGUUCGUCUGAAACGCAAGCCACCGAGCAUGACGUUCUAGCACCAGUCUCUGCAAGCGCAACCAUGACUAGGCAGAAGACAACGCCUAGCUCUCCUAUCUAUCUGCAAUUUUCAUUUUACUAUCAAUUUAAACACUAACACAUAUCAUACAUACAUGAUAUAUAUAGCAGGUUCUUGAUAAGAGUUUGAAGAUCAGUAUCUUUCACCAGCGAGAUAGAGGCGUAUUCCUCGACCCUCGUCAGCUUUUUCAGCUCUCGAACGAGUCGACUCUGUGAAGCUCUCCAAAGGCAAAUCGACGUGCAUGCUGACUUAAGUUAGCAUCUUCGAAGUUGACAAUAAACCCACUGAAUCAUACCUCCUCCUCGUUUGUUACAUCGAUGAUUUGUGAUGUUUCGUUGUCCAGCGGGAGGAGGACACCAAUAAAGGGAAACAAUUGAACAAUCGAUAAAUGAGGAAAAAAAAGGGAAAAUCGAAGGAGAAGGAGUGAUUUAUGUGAUGAGAAACCGAGGAGGGAGAAAUGAGGGGAAAUUUGAGCAAAAAAGUAAAUAAAUUGCCUACUUUUGGAGGGAUUUUUUUUCGUUUAGGCGGGAAGUGAUUUCCUUGGGGGGAAACAAAAUUUUUCAUGUCAUAUUAAUUUAUGGGGUCCAACCAUAAUUUAAAAGAGAUAUGUUUUAUAGCUCCAACUUAAAAACAACUCUUUUGUAUAUCAAAAUGAGUUAAAUGACUAAAACACCCUCAUAUUAUAUCAUUAAAAAAAAGGGAAUCAAGAUUUUCGUCCAAGUCAAGGAUGUGAAGAAGAUUUUACUUGAUAUUAAAGGUCCUAUCAAGAAGUAUAGGUAGCUUGAAGGAUCUAGAAUAUUUUGUCUUACUCAACUUUGAAACAUAUUGAGACUUAUUUUGAGACUUAUUGAGACAUAUUCCAUGUUAUUUAUUUUUAGUUUGGUAUGUUGUUCAUUCUAUUUGUUAUGUUGAUUUUUGUAUAUUAUUGUCUUGAGAAACAAAAGAAAAACACAAAAAAAUGUUGGUGGUUGUCGUGAUCAUGAUGGGGGCUUCCCAUCGUGGACACAAUGGCAGCCAUCGUGGUCACGACAGCGCCAUCGUGGGCCACGGUCGUGCCCUCGCCCCCGUCGUGCCCCGCCCUCGCCCACGCCCGCCAUUCGCUCCGUCGUGUCCACCAUCGUGUCCACGAUGGUAGGACACGAUGGUGGACACGAUGGCUCUCACGAGUCAUCGUGUGGUUAUUAAUAUCAUUUAAUUUCAAACUUAAAUAUGAUUAUUGACUUGUUUAAUGUAUUAUAUUAUGUUUAAAAUUAUAAUUUAGCAAUCAAGCUUGAUUUGUAAUAAAAAUUAAACGAGUUGGAGUUAUAUACAUCGAGAUCUAUGAAUAUCUACUUGAAAAAUACUUAUAACAUUUCAUGGAAUGUUAUAUAGUUGUCAUGACUCAUUUCACAAAAACACUUAAAUUAUGUGUUUUAAGACAAAAUGGUUUGAUUAACUAUGUAUAAUGUUGUUUAGAAGAUAUAUAACAUGUUCAAACUUAAAUUAGUCGAAUAUAACAUCAUAAAUUUUAAAAAUUUCAAACAAUAAUAACACACGAUCGUGUACCCGGUCGUGGACACGAUGGUGUGAUUGUGGUCACGAUCAUGGCCAUCGUGAACCACGAUCGUGCCCUCCGUUUCUCCUGCCCGAACCCAUCGCGGGCACGAUGGGUGCCUCCCAUCGUGAUCAUGAUGGGAGGUUUCCAUCGUGAUCUCGGCAAAUAACAUGGAAUAAAUCUCAAUAAGUUUCAAAGUUGGGUAACGACGGGGAAGACACGACGCGAGGGCACGAUCGUGCCCACGGUUGUGCCCACGGUGAGCUCCAUCGUGAGGUGUCAUUGUGGGCACGAUCGUGUCCACGAUGGUAGACUCACGACCAUAGGCACGAUGGCUCUCACGAGUCAUCGUGUGGUUAUUAAAAUCAUUUAAUUUUGAAUUUAAAUAUGAUUAUUGACUUGUUUAAUGUAUUAUAUUAUGUUUAAAAUCAUAAUUUAGCAAUCAAGCUUGAUUUGUAAUCAAAAUUAAACGAGUUGAGUUAUAUACAUCGAGAUCUAUGAAUAUAUACUUGGAAAAUACUUAUAACAUUUCAUGGAAUGUUAUAUAGUUGUCAUGACUCAUUUCACAAAAACACUUAAAUUAUGUGUUUUUAAGACUAAAUGGUUUCAUUAACUAUGUAUUAAAAUGUUGUUUAGAAGAUAUAUAACAUGUUCAAACUUAAAUUAGUCGAAUAUAACAUCAUAAAUUUCAAAAAUUUCAAACAAUAAUAACAUACGAUCGUGUACCUGGUGGACACGAUGGUGUGAUCGUGGUCACGAUCGUGUCCAUCGUGCCCUCCCAUCGUCGUGUCCUCCGUCCCCUCCCCCCAUCGUGUCCUCCCGUCCCCCGGCCCCGUCGUGUCCUCCGUCCCCCAUUCCCCUCGUCAUGUCCCCCGUCCCCCCCGGCCCGUCGUGCCUUCGGCCCAUCGAUGGCCGUGAUCGUGCAACGACCGUGCCCACGAUGAACAUCGACGGUCGUGCCCCCUGCCCACAAUGGACACGAUGGUCGGGGGACGGUCUUAUCGGCUGAGACAUUACCAUUGUGGGCACGACCGAGGGCACGAUCGUGCCCUCGCGUCGUGGCCUUCGCCCCCUUCCCCGUCGUCCCAUCGCUCCUCGCCCCCCAUCAUAGCCUUCGCCCCCUUCCCACCCCCAUCGCCCCUCGCCGGUCGCACCCCCUCGUUCGUGCCAUCGCCCAUCGCCCUCUUCUCCAUCGUGCGAUUGUGGGCACGACGUGGGCGACGGUCGUGCCGUCGUCGUGCCUCGUUGCCGCAGCCCCCUUCACCUCGGUCGUGCCAUCGUCGUCGCCCGUUGUGGACGCGAUGGGGGCUCCCAUCGUGGACACGAUGGUGCCGUCGUGGCCACGACCGUGGCCCACGAUGGCUGCCAUCGUGUCCACAAUAGGGGCGCCCAUCGUGAUCACGAUGGUGCCGUCAUGUCCACGACCGUGGCCCACGAGUUUAGCACAUUACUAACAUUGAGAAAACUGAAAGUUCUAAUUGUUUGUUAAAUAUAAGAUGAUUUUCUAAACACUAAUAUUUAUAUAAAUAAAUUAAAAUAUAGUAAAAUUUGGCUUAAUAUAUUUAGAACUAAUUCAUCUUGAUACGUCUGCAUAAUUUUUUUAUUUAUUCAACGUGGAAAAAUUAUCUUUUGUAUUAAAUUAAUGACAAUACAAAUUAUCUUUAUAUUAUAAACACUAAGCAUUUCUAUCAAAUAUAUGCUUUUUUAUAGCUGUAGACGAGAUGAUUCUCAAAAUUCACUUUUGAUCUUUCAAACUCUAAACGAGAUAAUGUUAAAAAGUUAGAGGUGGUCUAUCAAACUUCAUACAAGAUGUAUUCAAAACUUAAUUUUGGCUCCAAACAAUAAAUUGCUCUAAGUUAGAAGUGAUUUGCCAAACUCCAAACGAGAUGAUUCUUAUAACUAAAUUCCGAUCCUUUAAACUUCAAAUGAGAUCAUGCUUAGCACUCAUCUACAGUAUUUCAAGCUCCAAAUGAGUGAUGCUUAGAACUCAACUCCAGUCUAUCAAACCAUGGACAAGAUUAUACUUACAAAUCAGUUAUAGUCUUUCAAGCUCCACACGAAAUUAUUCUCACAAGCCAGUUAUGAUCUUACGAGUAUUUUGGUUUCAAACAAUAUGAUGCUCACAAAAUUAGCAGUGGUUUGUCAAGUUUCAAAUGAAAUGAUGUUCAUAACUUAAUUUCAACCUUUGAAGUUUCAAAUGAGAUAAUGCCUAACACUCAACUCCGGUCUUUCAAGCUCCAAAUGAGUGAUGCUUAGAACCCGGCUCAGGUCUCUCAAAAUAUAGACAAAUUUCAUAUAACAAGCUUUAGAUAAGAUAAUGAUUAGAUGUUCGACGUACAAAAGUCAAAUGUGAUAUUUCAAACCACAAACAAGAUGAUGCUCAAAGUCUUGUAAGAUUCGAGAUGACGUUCAUAUAUAAGAUGUGAUCUUAAAUUUUGUUUAUCAAUUUAUAAAAAUUAUACUCCUAUAAAAUUAGUAAAUCUUUCCUACACAUUAUAAAUAAAAAAUACGAUGUGUCAAUCCUUCAUCAUAUCAUAUGUCAAAUAUACCUAAUUUUUUUCUUCUUAUUUUUCUAAAUCUCCAACCUCACAUCAACUUUUUAUGAAAUUUCAUCAAAUAAAAAUUUAUAAAAAAANUUUCAAACCACAAACAAGAUUAUGCUCAAAGUCUUGUAAGAUUCGAGAUGACGUUCAUAUAUAAGAUGUCAUCUUUAAUUUUGUUUAUCAAUUUAUAAAAAUUAUACUCCUAUAAAAUUAGUAAAUCUUUCCUAUACAUUAUAAAUAAAAAAUACGAUGUGUCAAUCCUUCAUCAUAUCCUAUGUCAAAUAUACCUAAUUUUUUUUCUUCUUAUUUUUCUAAAUCUCCAACCUCACAUCAACUUUUUAUGAAAUUUCAUCAAAUAAAAAUUUAUAAAAAAAGACAAUCUAUUUUAACUCUCACCAAAAAUUAACUGACAAAAAUUAUUGACUAUCAUAUGCUAUAAUAAAAAAUAAUACUCCCUCCGUCCCUAAAAUAAGUUCUUCUUUUUCCUUUUUGGGACGUCCCAUAAAUAAAUUCCUCUUUCUUUCUUUCCAUUUUUGGACAACUACCCCACCACUAAUAAUACUUUAUUUAUUCUUACUUUUCACUUAUUCACCACUCCCAAUACUAAUUAUACCACUUUUUCACCUUUUCACCACUCUCAAUACUAGGGCUGUCUAAAUGGUUAUCGGGUUUUGGGUAUCCAAUUAACCGAACCGAAAUUCCCGGGUUUGGGUAUCCAAUAACCGAAAAUUUCGGGUAAUCGGUUAUUAUUUUUUUGGAAAUUUCGGUUAUCGGUUAACCCGAAAAAUCGAUCGGGUUAACCGAAUAACUGAAAUUAUUUUAUUAAUUAUUUAAUAUAUAUAUUAUCAAUAUAUCAUAUAUAAUAUAUUAUAUAUUUGUAAAUUAAUAUAUAAAUAUAUUUGUAAAUUAUUUAAUAUAUAUAUAUAUUUGUAAAUUAUUAUAUAUAUAUAUAUAUUAUAUAUAAUAUAUUUGUAAAUUAUAUUUGUAAAUUUACAUAUAUAUUAUAUAUUUGUAAAUUUACAUAUAUAUUAUAUAUUUACAAAUAUAUUAUAUUUGUAAAUUUACAUAUAUAUUAUAAUAUAUUUACAAAUAUAUUAUAUAUUUGUAAAUAUAUAUUAUAUAUUUGUAAAUUUACAUAUAUAUUAUAUAUUUGGAAAUUAUUUAAUAUAUAUAAUAUAUAUUUGUAAAUAUAUAUUAUAUAUUUGUAAUUUAUUUUAGAGUAGAUAGAGCAAAAAUUAUUUGAAUUUUAUUUUUUAAAUGGGUAUUUCGGAUACCCAAAUAACCCAAUUGGUUAACCGAAGCGGGUAUUGGGUAACUGAACUUCUAAAAUGGUUCGGGAACGGUUAUUGAAAUUUGGCAAUUUCGGGUUCGGGUAACCGAAAAUUCGGGUACGGGUAACCGAACCCGAACCGAUCGACAGCCCUACUCAAUACUAAUUAUAACAUAUUUUUCUCUACUAUCAAUACACUUUACAAUUUUUUCUUAAACCGUCUCCAAAGAGAAACUUAUUUUGGGGACGGAGGGAGUAUACAAUAAUAGUUACUCCCUCUGUCCCUAAAAUUUGUGGACCAAAAGAGAUGGCAUGAGUUUUAAGAUAAAGUAUGAUAGUUAUGUUUAAAUAGAGAUUGAGUUCCACACUUUUUUAUAAAUAAUGAGAGGAAAAUUUUGUGGGGUCAUUUCCAAAUAAAAAAAGACCACAUUUUUCAAGGGCGUCUCAAUAUAAUAAUAAAACCACAAUUUUUAAGAACGAAGAAAAUACAGUAUAAAGUGGUUCCCCGUCGAAUUUCGACGGGUUAAUAUUUUUAUUAAGUGACCUGCAGCGGUGGUGGUGUGUAAAUUUUUUAAAUUAAAUUGGUAAAGCAUAAAAAAGUUUCAAUGUGACCAAGAGAAAGAAGUACAUAUUUAAAUAUUUAAUAGAUGCAAUUAAGAUAAAGAUAAUAGAUGAGAAAUAUUUGAAAAAUAGGAUCUUUGAAUUUCUUAUUUUUAUAAAGUAAUUCAUCUUUUUUUAAAUAAUUAAAUCUUAUAGUUAAUACCAAUAUAAAAAUAAAAUUAAAUGAAUUAAAAAUCAGCCAAAAGGCAAUUCUCGACAAACGUGCAACUAUAGUUUGAAAAAGUAACUAAGGUAGAGCCAAUUUCUUUAUUAAAUAAAAUGUUUUAUUGAAAUUAAAAAUAUUUGCCACAUGGCAAGAUCUCAACGGCGAGCUGCAUUAAAGCAGUGGCACGAUAGAAGCACCCCAUUGGGGGAAGUAAUAUAGUACUCCAUACUUCAUCUAAAAAGACAAGACAAAAGUCAUACCGCAUGGGCCCAUACCCCACCUUUGAUUGCGAAGGUACUUUUUGGUUAGGAUUUUUGAUGGAAUAUUAACAAAUCUAAAUAUUUUAUUAUUUAAAGCUUAAUUAACAAUCAAAUUAAUCAAUAUAAACAUGAAUAAUCAAAUUAGUUCAGCAAGUGAUACGGAGCCACCUUUGGGCCUCCUAAUUUUUUUUUUUAAUUUUGUAAAAAAAAAUUAGUAAUGUUAUUUUAUUAUAUAUACAGUAUAAGUACAUAAAGUAGGAGGAUUUGUUGUUAAAAAAUUCCACAUAAAAUUUAUAUGUAUUUCAGAUUUUUUUUAAUCUAUAUUUAUAUGUAAUAAUUUUAUAUUUCAAAUAUUAUUUUUGAAAAAAUUCACAUAUAUAUAUACUUCAAUUUGAAUUUUUUAAAUAAAUAAAGUAAUCCACAUCAAUUACUCAAUAAAGAACUUGACUCUAAAAACACAUAAAUUUUUAAUUUUAUAUAAAAUGUAAUGAUAACUAUUGUUAUUAAACAAUUUAAAUAUUUUAUAAACAAUAGUAAAAUUAUAUUUAAAUGUUAACCAGAUAUAAUACUUAGGUGUUAUAUUUAUAUGUUCAAUAUUUACGUGACUUCAAAUCACUUAGUUUUUAUGAAAAAUAUGUAUUGUAAAGAUUUUCAUAAUGGCAUAUAACAUAGUUGAGUUAUGAUUUUUUUUUUUUCUAAAGUGUCAUUUUUAAUUUUUCUCCUAUAUGAAGAAAACCUUUUUUUUUCAUAAAUAAUAGAAGAAACACAUCAUUAAUGUUGAAGGGGAUGAGUAAAAACAUGUUCACAUUAAAAUAUGUCAUUUUAAAAAAAUUGAGCUAAUCGUGUAUAAAAUUAUUUUUUUUAAGACUAGCUCAUUAAUUAACUAUGUUUUCUUAUUAGUGAAGUUUAAAUUGGCCAGUAGGAAAACAAAUCAUAUUAUUACAACUUUUAAAAAUACUAAUAAAAAAUAAAGUAAGUGUUAUAUACCGAAAAAUGAACUCCAACAAAAUUAGAAUAAAAUAUUUAGAUUAAUUUAAGUGUUAUCCCGAAACAUAUAUACUUAUUUAAUUACGUAUAUAAUUUUAAUUUUUUCCUAAAAAAUCAAAUUUUAUAAAAUUUAAUUGAAUAUAAUUUUGAAUAUGUAAACGUAUAUUUAUCAUUAUUUGUGAAAUAUAAAAAUUAUUUGAUAAUGACGAUUAAUACAAAUUUUACUAUUAAAUAUAAUUUUUUUUAAAUUCUAAAGAUUUAUAAAAUGAACCAAUAUAAAACACAAAACUCAAUAUCUAAUUAUUUUCCUUUUGAAAAACACAAAAAUCAAAAGUACAUAAAAAUAUAAAAAAAACAAUAAAAUUUAUAAAUAACGAUUUUACUACUGUUCUCAUAACAAAAAUGUACAGCAAUACAUGUUAACUAUCCACAUGUAUCUAUAUAUAUAAAUAUAAUUUAUCAAAAUAAUUGAUUAUCUGUCUCAAUGGAGACUCGAAAAUUACAUAUCAAAUAUUUUAUUAACUAAAGUGCACGAUUUUUAGGAAAGAAAAAAAAGAUAAUAAAAAGAAAAGAAAGGGAAAAAAUUGUUAAAUGAAAAGAAAGAGAGUAUUUGAUUUGAUUUAUAUUGUAAACUUCACAUUAUACAUUUUUUCAAAAGGAAUAUGCAUUCAAAUACAUAUUAGCAAGAAGUAAUUGUCGGUACCAUCUAAAAAACAUAAUUUAUGACCAUUUUUAUAAUUUUGGUCAAAAAUAUCCUUGACCCCGCGGAUCCUACUCUCCCAGUCCAACCACGUACAGUGUUCUCUCUCUGUCUCUCUCCCCCCGCUCUUGGCACAAAUAGUAUAAUUAUGUCAAAUGUACCUAAUGAAUGACACAAUUGUCACGAAUUUACCCAUUUGUACCAAAUGUGUCAUCAUUCAAUCUUCAGUCACAUUUGACACAAAUGUGCAUAAUUGUGUCUAGUAUGUACUUAAUGAAUGCCACAAUUGGCCUGAAUUACCAUUUGUACCAACUGUACCAUCAUACUGCGUGCCCAACUCGAAGCCCAACCCACACGCAAACCCGAACGCGCUCCUAACUAAGGGCAAAACAGUCCUAAAACGUAAAAAUUGGUCAAAAUUUUUGUUUUUCAGAUGGGAGACCAAAUAUUGAGUUUCAUUGUUCAAUAUGACCAUCUCACAAGUUUACUCUUUUCAAAAUUGACAUUGAAAUUAAUUUCAAAUUAAAAUCUUGACUUUUUAAUAUAUUAUACUAGAAUUGAAGGUUUUAUCGUAUAUUAUAUUUUAUAUUUUUUUUUCCUCUUUCUUAUGUAUCCAUGAAUUGCAUAUUUUUAUAUUUAUUUUAUUUUUGUUCAUCUUUUUAUUAUUUUUUCUUUUUAAACUUGUGAAAUUCGCCCAAUUUUAAUAUAUUUGAUAUCAUAUCAAAUUAAAGAUUAAAGUUCACGACAAGAAAUUUAAUUUGAUAUAUUUUAUGUAGAUAAUGAAUUUAAGAUUUAAAUACAUGAGGACUAGUUUUUUAUGGAAACUUUUUUGCAGAUGUAUCAAACUUCAAACCUUUGCAAAAUAACAAAAGUCAUACCCCAUACCCCAUACCCCACACCCCACACCUUUGAUUGCGAAGAUACCUUUUUCUUUAGUUUUUUGGGAAACCAUCUUCACUCCAUUUUAGCAUUUUUCUUUUUUUGACUUUUAGCUAUGAUUUGAGAAAACCGUUAACAAUAGAUUCGAGGGCGGUUAAUUAGGAAGAUUAGUUUUGAUAGAUAAAAAAAGUAAAAUUCAUUCUAUUAUUUACUUUGAUGGAUUAUAAUUUUGAAAUAUCCCAAGACCUUAAUUUGAUUAUUUCUAUUAUUCAAAUUAUUUUUAUUUGAUUCAUUUUUCAUAAAAAUAGUUAAUCAUUCACAUAAUCAAUACAUGCUAAAGUUGGCCCAUAAAAUUCAGGUUCAUUUGAAUCCCGCGCAUGACAAAUGAAAAUUUAAAAUGCCUAAUUCUUUCUUUAUUUUUAUUAAUUGAGUUAAUUUUUCUUUAUUUUUAUUUUGUUAACAUAAUUUAUUCUUUCUUACAUUUAAGAAAAUUGGCUUAUUUCCCUCCAAAAAAAGAAAAAAAGAAAAUUGACUGAUUUUAAAAUAUCCAACACACCUAUAAAUUAAAGAUCUUGUUGAAGAUGUCAGAGGAGAGAGACUGUGUUAUCGUUAGGAACUUAGGAUUGAAAACUUGCUUCAUCAUUUGUCUAUACUUCUUUCACUCCCAAUGCCUAUCGAAGCUAAAGUAGAUCAACAUCUAAGGCUGGAGGAAAACAACUUUAAUUUGGUGUUGCACUCAAACAAAGUAAUUUUUCCAAGAACUUUCCUACAAGAGAACUCAAUUUUUUUUAAUCAAUAGUUCAUUUUUAGGGUGUGCUCAAUUUGAUAGAUAAAUUUAUCAUGGGAAAAUAAAGUAUAACAAAAAUUUAUGUCUUUAAAAAGUCUUUUUUUUUUUUUCAGAAGUUCACCAUUUUUUCUUUCUUAUUUUCACUUCAAAGAGAGACAACAUUAUCUCUCGAUCUUGGUGUGGUAAUAUUAUCCAUUUUAAAGUGAAAAUAAGGAAGAAAAGGUAGAGAACUUGAUCUCUUUUGUGUAAAAUAUGGGAAAAGAAAUGAGACAUUUAAAAUUAUAAAUUUUGGUCAUUAAUUCUUUAUUUUUCCAUGAUAAAUUUAUCCAUGUGAACGUACCCUUAGGGUUAAUUAAUUCAUCGUAACUAAAUUCCAUUCCUAGCGGUAAGAGGGGAUUUAGGCCAUAUAUAUAUGCACUUGUAGGAAACCAACAUGAAAUUUCCAUUUCUUAAUUUGCCAAUGCCGACUAGUAGGAAAGCAACAUGAAAUUUCCAUUUCUUAAUUUGCCAAUGCCGAUUUACAAUUUUUUUUUUCUUUUUCUCUAAUAAAAAGAAAUUAAAAUAGGAUGAAAUAGAACUAUAAAUAUACAAUUAAUCGAAGAAAUUAAUCAAAACCAAGUCUGUCUUUUCCUUCAUCCAUCAUGUUUCCGCACAUCUCUCUCCACAAUUCCGCCCCUUUGAAGUUGCUGAUUUUCUCUCUCAUCCUCUCUUCCUCUCUCACCAAAACUACCUCCGUCGCCGCCGUGCCGGGCUGCCAUGGAAAGUGCCUCGACUCCAACAUCCCUUACCUGUUGGGGAUGUUCGUGCUGGUUUCCCUCGUAAUUGGGAGCACUUGGAUCGUCUGGUCGAAGCGGCAAAAGAAGCUCGAGCACCAUAGAAUGAGCUUGUUCGAUAGAAAUGGCGGAAACAUAUUGAAGAAGAAGCUAUCCCAGCGCAAGAGAUCUGCGCACCUCAAAAUAUACACAGCUCGGGAAAUGGAGAUCGCCACCAACAAUUACAGCGACACCAGAUCGGUAAUGCAGAGGUGCAAGCCGGGGAAAUUCUACCGCGGAACCUUCGAGAACAAUCGAGAGGCCGUCGUGAUGAAGCUUCCGUCGCCGGUGCCGCAGUCGAGAAUCGAACAGUUCGUCGACGAGGUGAUCUUCCUCUCCGAGGCCCACGGGAAUCUGGUUAGGGUUUUGGGCUGCUGUUUGGAGACGAGCUCUCCCUUGGUAGUUUACGAGCUCCACGGCGACGGCAACCGCACCCUCGCCGACUGCUGCACGCGCGGCGGCGCGUGCGCUGGCAUCCUCCGGGCGGCGGUGAGGGGGCUCGCCGACCUGCGGUCGCGGAAUGCGAGGGCGGCGGGGUUCCUCCACGGCAACUUCUGCGGCGGCAACGUUUUGUUGGAUGAUUCUUUUGAUGCGAAGCUGUUCUACGCCGCCGCCUCCGGCAACCUCGUCGCUGAUCGAGAUCGUGUUGGUUUCGAUGACAAGGACGUGUGUAGCUUCGGAGCAGUGCUGGAUGAGCUGCUGUCGACGCGUCGGAGGGCGCCGGAGAGUGACGGGGAUCUCGCCACGUGGCUGCUGUCGGAAGAUUCGGAAGUAGUUUAUGUGAAGGAGGUUGCCGCCAUGGCUGCGAGAUGCAAGAGUGUGCUGCCGGAGGAGAGGCCUACCUUGUCUGAAUUGGAAGCUACGCUUAGUAGAUUGAUUGGAAAUUUAUAGAGCACAACUAGUUGCUAAUACGUUUCUGUUAUGCUAUUUUGUAGCCUUAAAUCAUAUUUGACUAUUUGUAAGCAUUGAUUCCAUCGUGUACAGUUUUAAAUAGAGAAUCAGAUCUGAUCAAUGAAAAACAGUUUCCAUUUCCACUUUUCAUAUUCUUAUUCUCUCAUGGCUACUGUUCAGCCAUAUUUCCCCUCGAUCCACCUAAAGAUUUGAGGAUGUGCUUCUUCUCCCAAUAUCGCUCCGCUGCAAUUCAAAAUUCGGACUUUGAUAUGGCUACGUUAUGAUCAAUUUAUUUUCAGUUGGAUUCUUGCUGCGAUCUCUCAUUCAAUGAUCGGAUAAAAAUAAUUUGAAUAAUAGAAAUAAUCAAAUUCAAAUUCAACUCCAGACGCUAGUGAUGAUUAUAUUUUGAAAUUUCGAGGCAUUUCUGAUCAGUUAUCCAAUAUUGGUCAACAAAUUGCAGAAACUGAUUUUUAAAUACCCAUGUCCCAAAGAAAUAAGACAUUUAUAAUUGAAGUAAUAUUUUAUUUUAAAAUAAAUAUUAAUUCAAUAAAGAAACUAAUAUUAGGAGACAAAUGAUUGGACAAAGAGUUGGGACAUCUGAUUCUAACGAUAGGACAAUAAAGAAACUAAUAUUAGGAGACAAAUGAUAGGACAAAGAGUCGGGACAUCUGAUUCUAACGAGUUUCCUGAGGGUUAUAGGGUUUAGGAGUGAGAGGAUUUUUUAGGACAGUAACUUAUGUUAAUUUGGAAAUUAGGACAAAAACUUUUUGACUUGUAAAAUUUUUUUAGAGUAAAAUAAGACACUAAUUAAUAAGCGUCGUAAAAAUAAGACAUUUCUCGGCCGAGAAUUGGUCUGACAAAUGUCCUGCGGGUGCAACACUUAUUAAUUAGUGUCAUAUUUUACUCUAAAAAAAUUAGUGUCCUAUUUUUAUAAGUCCGAAUGUUUUUGUCCUAAUUUUCAAAUCAACCUAAGUUACUGUCCUAAAAAACUCUCGAACUCCUAGGGUUUAGUACAGUACGUAUAAAAGUAUAAUAGCACAUCUAUUAUUAUUUUUAGGGGUAUUAGCCUAUAAAUAUCCGAACUUUUUCUAUUUUCUGAUUUUGCACCCUAACUUUAAAAUUUGCCUGAAAAUACCCGAACUUUAUAUUCUUUCUGAUUUUGCACCCAACGAAUUUUCACCCCCAAAUCGUUAAUAAAAUGGCAGUCGGAUUGAGAGGCAAGUUUGAAUUUCAUAACGAAACAAAUAAGUUUAUUGUCAAUUUGAGAUCUAAAACAUGUAAUUGUAGAUUUGAGAUGUCAAUCCGGCUAUCAUGUUAGCAACAAUUUCGAGGUAAAAUUCGUUGGGUGCAAAAUAAAAAAGAAUACAAUGUUCGAGUAUUUACAGAAAAUUUUUAAAGUUCGGAUGCAAAAUAAGAAAAUGGAAAAAGUUCGGGUAUUUAUAGACCAAUACCCUUUAUUUUUAUAUGAAAGGCGAUGGUAAAAAGAAUUACUAGUAACUACUCCCUCCGUCCCACUCCAAUAUGCUCGUUUUCCUUUUUGGGACGUCUCACUCCAAUAGGCCUAGUCUAAAAUUAGAAAUAAUUAGGGCUCUAAUUAAAAUUAUAACUAGUUACUUAAAGGGGAUAUACACCCCUAAUUAAAACCCUAAAAACUCUCAUUCACGUUUUCCUCCCACCUCUGCUCAAAAUUCUUUGUCGCCACUUCCCAAAAUUUGGCGACUGGUCGCGCCUCAACGGCUCUGAAACUCCGGCCUCUUUUCUCAUUCGGCCCUCUUCCCGAUUCUCCAGAAAUUGCCCACCGGAACAAGCCCUAACUCUAGUAACCUCAAGUGGAACUCAAUUUGGAGCCCUAACUCUCCCCUCUUCCUCAAUCUCAACGGAAACACACAAUUGUGGGAAAAAUGUCGAGCCCCAACUUCUCCGAUCGAGCCUCUCUCUUUCUUCCUCUUGGUUCAGGCAAAGUCGCCUCUGUAACUUCGGACGAAGUCGACGCCGCUCUUCGGCCUGUGAAAUUGUGAAAUUCGCCUCAAUAAUUUAACCUCUUAUUUUUCUAUUUUAUUUCUUUUUUAAAAUUGUGAAAUUCGACUAAUUAUAAAAUAUUUGAUAUGUAUAUCAAAUUAAAGAUCAUGACAAGAGCUUUAACUUGGUAUAAGUUAUGUAAAUAUUGGAUUUAAAAUAUAAAAAUUAUAUUUAUUUAAAAAUUAAAACUUAAGAAAUUUCUCCCCUCCUCCUCCUCCUCUUUUUUUUUUGAAUAAUCUAUUUUUUUUCAAUUUUUUAACUUAUAUUUUUUCUUUUUUACAAUAUCAAUUUUUAUAAUAUGAAUUAUUCUUUAUUAUUUUUAUAUUAAACUAAAUUAUUAUCUUAAAUUAUAGUAUUUUUAAUUAUAUUUAGAUUUUAUAUAAUAAUCAAAUUAAUAUAAAUUUUAAAUAUAAUAAAAUAUAAAAAUAUUUUUCGUGCGUUGCACGAGUGUAAAUGCUAGUUAAUAUAUAUUUUAAAAUUUGAAUUGAUAUAAAAGUAAAUCCAGCAGCCAAAAGGAGUGAAGUGAUCCAAGCUAAUUCGAAAAUCGAUUCGAGAGAAAUGCGAACUUAAUUUCGAAAUACUCGAAGUAAAUCUGAAAAUUUAUCGAAUCGAGCUCGAACUCAAGAUCAAACUAUAUUUGACAUUUGAAAAAUAAGGAGGCACGAUAGAACAUACAACACCAUGUAAUUAAUUAUUUGGUACACGAAUUUAUUUAAUUAAACGCUUAGAGCAUUACUAUAUAACAAUAACAAGAUCAAUGAGAAAGCCUCCGUCAAAAGAAACAUCUCAACAAACUCAUCCAGCAAAAAAUGCAAUAAAAUUGUUUUAAAAAUGGAUAAUUUUCCAAAAAUUCAUCAUCUUUGAGACAACUUUGUUGACACUAUAUUUAAAAACAUUCCAAUAAUAAAAACAAAAUAAAAAAAGCCAAUAUUCAUUAGUAUUUAUUAAGAUUAAGAUAUACAUGCAAGCUAAAACACACAACAUGUUAAUUUACAUUGCAGAUAAGAGCAACCAUUUCUUGUAAGAAAGCAUAGAAACAACUGUAUGAAAAAUGGUUAGUAUGAGAAGCACAGCAGCUGAUAUCUUCAAGUAAUUCCUCCUCACUCUUGCCAUCCAUCUCCCACGUCGAAGCCGUUUGCAUCUGUUCAAACUCUCAAACACAUUUGAAUAGCAAAAAUCUGAUGAUGAACCACAACAUUCUUCCCCAAUCUGUUGAACAUGCUGCAGAUCAUCUCAUCACUGCCUAUGAAGUUGCUGAUGACCCCACUUCGUCGUAGUAUCUCAACAUCUUUGGUGGAUCUGAUGAAACAAUGUAUGAAAAACAAGUAAUCUUUCACAUACCUCGGAUGAUCAUCAGGGAAGAAGCAGAGCUCGUACGCGAUCAAGUUCCUCAACAUGGACUCAGUCUUAUCUGAUAUGCACAAUGUGGGAGUUUAUGACUCCAUUGGCAAAACUGAUAUCCUUAGAGUGAUCCUCUCGACCCGUGUAGCCUAAUCCCGGCCUCCUCCAUCUCCGAGGCAGAGCACGUGUUGUGCACCGUGUUGCUACCGUUGUUUUCAGUGAAGCACUUGGCUGAGAAUGAGAAUGAGAAGAAAGAAUCAUACACUAGGCCUAAUAUAUGCUCAGCAUUGUGCAACAUUUCUGAACUAUAGUCGAGCUUUGAGGAAUCCGGCCAUGGGAGCACGUCUCCGGCUAGAAAGAGGAGGAGAUGGUGUAUGUUAUCGUCUGGAUGUUCCAUCCUUGUCAUGUCGAAAAGCUCGUUCAACACGAAGAAAGGGAGCUGGUUCUCCAACAACAGAAGAUCAUGCCUUAUUUGGACUAACAUGUGAUCAAAUUGAAAUAUUUGAUCACUCAUGUCUCUCAAAUCACUAAACCAAUAGCUUCUCAGCAGCUCAAUCACGAAGCAUCCAUCAAGAAGCAACAUCUCCACGAACUCAUCUUGAUCAAGACUGAUUGAUUUCGCGUAGUAAAGGCGAGCCUUUUCCUCCAUGCUCCUCACUUCCAACACACAUUUCUCAACACUCAACUCAUCCCUUCUUCCUAAUGUUUUUCUUAGAUACCUCAGCUUGUGCUGCUCCAUGGCCUUAACGCGAUCUUUCCCACGAUGGAUUGGGCCUAUAGAGACUAAUUCGGGUUCAAAAUCCUUUUCAUUUACUUGCCUCAGGUGUUGAUCUACUUUGGCUAUGAUAGGCUUUGAGGGAGUGAGAGAAGUAGACAAAUGAUGAAGCAAGUUUUCAAUCCUAACAACAACACAGUCUCUCUCCUCUGUCAUCUUCAAGAAUUAAGCCAAGAAACCAGAAAAUAUAUAUGCUACAAAAGAAGAAAACACCAUAAAAAUAUUAAACAUGUAGCAAUCUACAUAGGUUCAUUUGUUAUUGAAACUUACAAGAUAAACAAAAUGUAGAGCAUACUUACUAGAUUAUCACCAGGGAAUUUGAGUGGCUGAAACACGAACAAAGUUGUACAUUGCAGCUGAUUUCUUCGUGUUAUUUUCUUUUUAAAGAACUUUUUUCAUUAUUGUAUUGACAAAAUGAGUGUUCGGUGCAACCAAACAGAAAUUAUUGUAUUUUAAUUAAGGUAAAUUUCCAGGAACUUCACUGUGAAAGACUUCUUGCUUAAGAAAGUUCAUGCGAAAUUUCAUAGUGAAUGUGCAUUCGGUUCGGACCGAACCGAAUCGGACCCAACCGCUGAGAUCGAAAACCGUGAAGAGAGUGAAGCUAGAACCGACCCGGACCGACAAGAUUAUAAAAACCGACCAAAUCUGGCAGUCUCCAAAAAUGCCCGUUUUCGCCGGCUGUGCCACCCAGAAUCCAAACCAAACCGAUAAAAACCGACCUAUUCCAAAUUUCAUUAGAAAGAUAACAUCAAGAGUUUUACAACAGUUGCUUAGGAUUGUCCAUCAAAAUUCAGACAAUCAAAUUAUUGGCCAACAAACUUCUAGAGUUACGUCAAAUUCAAAAUAUUAAAAGUUUAUGUAUUUUUUGACCAAAAAAUAGAUAUGGUAUGAACCAAAAUUCGGGUAUAACUUGUGUAUUUAUAGGAAAAUUAACCCUUAAAAUUAUAAAUUGAAAUAUUAUAAACUAGCGAUUAACCUAGACUAUCAACGGUUCGAUCCGACGGUUAAUCGUCGAUUCAAGGUUCACAAAAUCCAAGCCCUUAAUUAAUCAGACUAUUCAGAGCGAUUCCGAUUCCGAUUCUGACCCAUGACCAAUGCUUGGGGGACCUAGACAACACUAAUUGCAAGCCUUGGCAAUUUGUUAUUUAUCAUUCAAUACACAUUUGUCAUGCAACUUGACUGGUUCUAAGUCUUUUUAGUCUUCUCUUGAGGUUUUUCAUUUUUUGCCUCAGUUGACUUGAACUUGAACAAGAUGAAGUCUUCUUUUAAGCCAUGGCUGAAAUCACAAUGUCAUAACUUCUUUUAUCCAAACAAUCUUUAUGCUUCAAAGGUACAACACCUCAAAGCUGAGAUCUGUACCAAAACACCAAAGGCCUUAAUGCACAGGAAAUUACAUUUCUCAUGCAUAGAAACUUCUUGGUAGUUUUGAACACAAAAUCUCAAAACUCUGGUUAAAUUGUUCAACUCUUCACCUUCCCUUAAACUGAUUUUAACUAUAAAUCUAGAUCAACACCAAGAAUGUAAAGAAACAGCAAACACAUUGAGUCUUUUUCCCCUCCAUCUCAACUUUGAUCAAUAGUAUGUAUGCUACCUGUUUUCCAUUCUUGAAUUCUUGAUCAAAUUAUGACUAUUUAUCCAAAUAAUCUAAUCUUACAUGUUUAAUUCUUGAAUGUUCACAGAUGUCAAAUGGAGAAGAUAGUGUGGCUGUUGCAAUCCAAGGUUUGAUCAAGAAUUUGAGCAACACUACUCAACCUAAGCCCAAAAUAUUCCAAGUGGAUGAUCGCUUGCGCAAGGUGAAUGCAAAGGAUUAUGAGCCGAGGAUCGUGGCUCUCGGCCCCAUCCAUCGAGGGAAACCUCAUCUCGAGGCGAUGGAGCAGCACAAGCUGAGGUAUCUGCAGCAACUUCUGCAGAGAAGAGAUGAUCUCACCAUAGAAAAACUGGUCCAAAAAGUGAGAGAAAUGGAAGAAAUUGCCCUCCAAUGCUACUCAACACCUCUCAAUGUUGAUGCAGAUGAGUUUGUGAGAAUGCUGCUUCUUGAUGGCUGCUUCCUCAUCGAGCUCGUGAGAAGGCACAAGCACGUCUUCGAGGUCUCGACAGAGAAAGACCCCGUCUUCGAGCCCAAGACACUCAGCCAGAUCACUCAUGACCUGAUGCUAUUUGAGAACCAGCUCCCUUUCUCCAUCUUGAACCACCUCUUCAACAUGAUCAAAACAGAGCAUCCGGACGAGAAUCUGCACGACCUCGUCCUGUUCUUGGUCAACGACACGUUCCCUUGGUCGAACGCCCUAAAACUCGAUCCAGCAUCAGACGAGAACCACCACCUCCACCCUGACCAGGAUCAUCUAUUAGGCCUAAUCUACCAAUCUUUCACUCCAUUUUCAACUCAAACUCUUUCUACAACUAAAGAUAGGAACUCAUUAGCCCACAUAAACUCUGCCUCGGAGCUGAAGGAGGCCGGCAUUCGCCUCAAACGGUCUAAACAAAACCUCCUCACUUUCAAAGCCAGAGUCCUCAAAUUCCCACCUCUGCAAGUCUCAGGCGAGACAGAGUCCCUUCUGAGGAACUUGAUGGCCUACGAGCAGCUCUGCCUCGAUGAUGAUCACCCAAAACACGUCACAGACUACGCGUUCUUCAUGCAUUGCCUCAUCAGAUCAACAAAAGACAUUGAGAUACUGCGAUGCAGUGGGAUCAUUAGCAACUUCCUAGGAGGUGACGACAACAUCUGCCUAAUGUUUAACAGAUUGGGGACAAACUUCCUCAUCAGAUCAUCAGAUUUUUGUUACUCUGAUGUCUUUGUGAGCUUGAACAAGCAUUGUGGCCGCCGGCACAACAAAUGGAUGGCGAAAUUGAGGCGAAACUACUUCAAUAGUCCGUGGUCCGUGAUCAAGUUCGUUGCUGCUGCAGUGCUGCUGCUGCUCACCUUAACACAAACUGUUUUUGCUGUACUUGCUUAUAAGCAUAGGGAUGAUGUGAUGAGAGUGCGUUCGAUUUCAAUGUGAUUCAACUAUGUAUGUAUGUAGGGAGAAAAUCAUUUGUAAUCAUAUCAUCUGUUUAUCUAAUGUAAAACUUUAUCUUCCUUCAAAGCCAAAUACACUGCAACAGUUUCUAGUGAUGUUGAAUCAUGAUGCAUCAAAUUUUUGAAUGAAGAUAAAUUUCUAAAUUUUUGAAGCUAAAAAAAUGGAUGAAUGGUACAAUUAUUACAAAAUUGAUAGUUCAAGGUUUAAAAAAUCAUUUUCGUUAGUUCAGGAUAUACUUGACAGUGCGAAAAUAGUUUGAGGUUUUAAAUGAUAUUUAUCCUAAAAGAUUUCAGUAAAAAAUCUCUUCAAAAAUUUCCAGAGCUCAAAAGCAAGCAUAACUUAAUUAGCUGAAUGAUGCAGCCAAGUCUCAGACAAUAAAACUUAUUUAUGAGAAAUUUCCAUUUCUUAAUUUUGCCAAAUGCCAACUAGUAGGAAAGCAACAUGAAAAUUUCAUCUCAACGCGUACGUAUUCAAUUUUACAACUUUUUUUUCUUUUUCUCUAAUAAAAAGAAAUUAAAAUAGGAUGAAAUAUAACUAUAAAUAUACAAUUAAUCGAAGAAAUUAAUCAAAACAAAGUCUGUCUUUUCCUUCAUCCAUCAUGUUUCCGCACAUCUCUCUCCACAAUUCAGCCCCUUCUUGCUGAUUUUCUCUCUCAUCCUCUCUUCCUCUCUCACCAAAACUACCUCCGUCGCCGUGCCGGGCUGCCAUGGAAAGUGCAUCGUUCGUGCUGGUUUCCCUCGUAAUUGGGAGCACUUGGAUCGUCUGGUCGAAGCGGCAAAAGAAGCUCGAGCACCAUAGAAUGAGCUUGUUCGAUAGAAAUGGCGGAAACAUAUUGAAGAAGAAGCUAUCCAAGCGCAAGAGAUCUGCGCACCUCAAAAUAUACACAGCUCGGGAAAUGGAGAUCGCCACCAACAAUUACAGCGACACCAGAUCGGUAAUGCAGAGGUGCAAGCCGGGGAAAUUCUACCGCGGAACCUUCGAGAAUAAUCGACAGGCCGCCGUGAUGAAGAUUCCGGCGAUGGUGCCGUCGAAAAUCGAGCAGUUCGUCGACGAGGUGAUCUUCCUCUCCGGGGCCCAAGGGAAUCUGGUUAGGGUUUUGGGCUGCUGUUUGGAGACGAGCUCUCCCUUGGUAGUUUACGAGCUCCACGGCGACGGCAACCGCACCCUCGCCGACUGCUGCACGCGCGGCGGCGCGUGCGCUGGCAUCCUCCGGGCGGCGGUGAGGGGGCUCGCCGACCUGCGGUCGCGGAAUGCGAGGUUCCUCCACGGCAACUUCUGCGGCGGCAACGUUUUGUUGGAUGAUUCUUUUGAUGCGAAGCUGUUCUACGCCGCCGCCUCCGGCAACCUCGUCGUUGAUCAUCGAGAUCGCGGUGGUUUCGAUGACAAGGACGUGUGUAGCUUUGGAGCAGUGCUGGAUGAGCUGCUGUCGACGCGUCGGAGGGCGCCGGAGAGUGACGGGGAUCUCGCCACGUGGCUGCUGUCGGAAGAUUCGGAAGUAGUUUAUGUGAAGGAGGUUGCCGCCAUGGCUGCGAGAUGCAAGAGUGUACGGCCGGAGGAGAGGCCUACCUUGUCUGAAUUGGAAUCUACGCUUAGUAGAUUGAUUGGAAAUUUAUAGAGCACAACUAGUUGCUAAUACGUUUCUGCUAUGCUAUUUUUGUAGCCUUAAAUCAUAUUUGUAAGCAUUGAUUCCAUCGUGUACAGUUUAAAGCUCGAUCUGUGCAGCUUCAAAUUCAACUCCAGACCUAAAGAAGGGAGAUCUCUCUAUUGAUGAUUAUAUUUUGAAAUUUCAUGGCAUUUCUGAUCAGUUAUCCAAUAUUGGUUGUUUAUAGAUUAAUGUGAUUUAUGCUUUGUUUAUCUUUUCG